rnacentral:rRNA from 1 species
GAUGAACGCUGGCGGCGUGCCUAAUACAUGCAAGUCGAGCGAACGGACGAGAAGCUUGCUUUUCUGAUGUUAGCGGCGGACGGGUGAGUAACACGUGGAUAACCUACCUAUAAGACUGGGAUAACUUCGGGAAACCGGAGCUAAUACCGGAUAAUAUUUUGAACCGCAUGGUUCAAAAGUGAAAGACGGUCUUGCUGUCACUUAUAGAUGGAUCCGCGCUGCAUUAGCUAGUUGGUAAGGUAACGGCUUACCAAGGCAACGAUGCAUAGCCGACCUGAGAGGGUGAUCGGCCACACUGGAACUGAGACACGGUCCAAACUCCUACGGGAGGCAGCAGUAGGGAAUCUUCCGCAAUGGGCGAAAACCUGACGGAGCAACGCCGCAUGAGUGAUGAAGGUCUUCGGAUCGUAAAACUCUGUUAUUAGGGAAGAACAUAUGUGUAAGUAACUGUGCACAUCUUGACGGUACCUAAUCAGAAAGCCACGGCUAACUACGUG